AUAUAUAAAAGAAGGCAUUUAUUAGGGGAAUUGGCUCAUGCAAUUACAGAGACUGAGAAGUCCCACCACAGGCCUUCUGCAAACUGCAAACUGGAGACCUUGGGAUGCUGGUAAAGUGGCUCAGUCCAGGUCCAAAAGCUUCAGAACCAGGGAAAUCAAUGGUGUAACUCUCAGUCUGAGGCUGAAGGCCUGAAAACCUUCUUAGGUGGAGUUGGGACUGCUGAUGUUAAGUCCUGGAGUCCCAAGGCUGAAGAGCUGUGGGUCUUGAUGUCCAAGGGCAGGAGCAGAAGAGUGUGUCUCAGCUCAAGGAACGAGAGGAAAUCCUUUCCUCUGCCUUUGUUUCAUCCUGGUCCCCAGCCAGUUGGAUGUUGCCUGCCCACACUGAAGGCAGAUCUUCUUCACUCAGUCUACUGACUCACAUGCCAGUCUACCCUGGAAAUACCGUCCAGGAAACACCUAGAAUUAAUGCUUUACCACUUCUCUAGGUAUUUCUUAAUCCAUUCAAAUUGGCACCUAAAAUUAACCAUCACUGCAUUUUUAAAAUAUUGAAUGCUCUAUCAUCUGGGAUCUAAAACAGUACCUGCCACAAAAUAGGCGUUCAGUAGACAUAUGUUGAAUGAGUGAAUGAAUGAAUUUAUAUCUGAAUCAUUUUAACAAAUAAGAAAUGUAUGUGGUACAUUCUAGACAGAAAUUCCUGAGAACAGAUGUUCUGCAUGAAAACACGAAAGCACUAAAUAUUUUUAAAACAAUCUGUUAAUAAAAAUAACACAAAUUAGCAACCAAAUACAUCUGAAAUUGAAAUAAUUGCUAAUUUAGCAGAGAAAAGGUCAAUAUAUAAUGUAAUUGAUCUUUGUCCUUCCCUACUAUACACCUUUCAGACAAUGGGUGUUGAAAGUACCAAUUUUCUGAAUUAACAGCUAAUAGAUUUUUAUCUUCAGUAAUAAUACUCUACACUUAUGUGACACUUUAUAGAUUACAAAAUAUAUUUCAUUGUCACAUUUGAUUAUUAUACAAACAAAAUAUUUUAUGUGCUUAUAGUUGGGUUACAUGCUAUUGAAUACAAAAGAAAUAAAGAUGGAGUGUCAGAGUAUGCUAGUGAACUUCCAGAAUCUGUUUCUUCUUUCAUAGAAACAAAAUUACCAAUUUUGAGCUGGACAUAGACCAACAACUAAAAUAUGUGAUAAUAUUCACACUGUCCUGCAACAAAGCUAAGAAAAUUCCAUUUUGGUCAAUGGAAUUUAAGUGAAAGUGUAGACAACUCGUCCCUUAAAGGGAAGAGACAUGCACUUUUUUUAUCCCUCCCUACACCUUGGAAUGUAUAUAUAAUGGCUGGAUCGCUAGCGUUUAUUUUAACCAUGAAAACAAGGGCCACAACUGUGUUCAUCUUAUCCUCCAUUGUAUUUCCAAUACUCAGCACAAGCCAUGGAACAUAGUAGGUAUACAAUAAAUAUUGUCUGAAAAAAUGAAUACACAUGAUUUCCUUUAUCAGUUUCUCUUCUACUUCUACUUUCUUCUUGGAGAGGCCUGGACAAUUAUAUUCUUAGGAAGUAGGUAUGAUAAUAGAGAUAAUAAAUGUCCACAUUUGCAGUCCCAUGCCAUGCCACAAAUCAUCUCUAGCCACUUACACAGUUCAUUAGCUCCAUAAAACUACAGAACUCUUAGGAAUUCCCCAUUUGUAAUUCUUGGGAGAGUCACUGAGUGUAAGCCUUCACCAUAGCAUAAGGAACUUGUGCAAGAUAAUUUUUUUUUUUUCUUUUUUUGAGACAGAGUCUCACUCUGUUGCCAGGCUGGAGUGCAGUGGUGCAAUAUCCGUUCACUGCAAUCUCUGCCUCCCAGGUUCAAGUGAUUCUCCUGCCUCAGCCUCCCAAGUAGCUGGGAUUACAAGUGAACGCCACCACGCCCAGCCAGUUUUUGUAAUUUUAGUAGAGACGGGGUUUCACCAUAAUGGCCAGGAUGGUCUCCAUCUCCUGAGCUCGUGAUCCACCCGCCUCGGCCUCCUAAAGUGCUGUGGGAUUACAGGCAUGAGCCGCCGUGCCCAGCCAAGAGAAUUUACGUCACUAGGUGGACACCAGAUAAGAUAUAUUUUAGUAAGUUAAUUUUAGUAAAUUAAUUUAGUAAGUUAAUUUGAGAAAAGGAAGCAGAAGACCUAAUGAGACACAAAGUAUGAUCAGAGACAGAGAGCAGAGAAGAAUUAAUGUCAGGAGGGAACAGAGGUCUGCCAUUGGGGUAUAAUUCAUGUCUCAGAGGCCGGCAGAGUAGGUGUUGGGGCUGGGGCUGCUGCAUAGGCAGUAACUUUUGCCCCCAGAGUUCUCACAGGUAUCAUUCAGUCACUGACAAUUUCUGCGAUUUUAUGACCAACUUUAUUUAAAAGUUCAUUUUGCAGUAUCUGUCUCUUGUCAUUGCAUAUUGUUUCAAGGUGUAAUUAUUCUAAAGCUUUUGAGAAAAGAUAUAGAUAUAUUUUAUGGCUAUACAGCAUAUUUCCAAGAUCAUUUAAAAUAUCCUAAACUCACAAACUUCCAAAGUUUCUUAGUAAAUUGCUCAGGUAAAAUAACAUUAGUGUAGUAUCAGAAAGGCUUCAAGGAACUUUAUACAAAGUAAUAGCGUGUUUCUACUACCUUACUGAUUUGAAAGAUAAUGCUUAGCAACAUCCAAUAAAAUAUCUUGAAAUAUUAAGGAUUCUCAGUCUUACUGGACCCCAGAUGGACCCACUGCCUAUUUUUUAUAAAAGAUGGAUUUUGUGUGUGUGUUUAAUGGUGGUAUUUUUUGCAGUAGCUAAUGCCAAGAUUUCAGUAGAGAAAUUUGGUGCUGGAAAUAUUUACUAUAGUGCUGGCACAUAAACCAAGAGCUAUCAGACUUUAAUGCUUUUUUCCCUAAACUUUUUAUAGGCUUUCAUUUUUAAUUGUUGCCAAUCUGCUGAUUUUAUUUUAAAUAGAUACUUCAAGGCUGUGCUUUGUCAAAACAGACAGAUGUAUCAUUAAAUUCCCUCCCAAAUUACACAUUAGGCAAUGUCUUUGUUUCAUGUGCUACAGAGGUAUUUGAAUUUGUUAUAAUCUGGAGUUAAACAGGAGGCCAGAGAGCUGAUUUUCAGAGCAAAAUACUCUAUAAUUUAGAAUUGAUUGCUGUGAUUGCGUAUAGUUUGGUGAAAUGCACAUUGGCCAAAGUGAAGGUGGGCAUGGUUCUUUGUGCUCAUUCUUGUGGGUCAUAGGGGCAUGGUUUUGUUGGAAGAGUCUAGUGGAAGAGUCCAUAUCAGAAAUCUCUGGGAUUGCUUUUCCCAUCUUUUAAUCAUCUCUUUAAAGAAAAGAGUGAGGAAUAUUGAAAAGUGAUUCUCAAAUAUUUCUUUUCAAUUGGAUUAUGUAGUAGUUUCCAAUGGCUGCUGUUACAAAUUACCAAAAAUGUAGUGGCUUAAAACAACACAAAUUUAGAAUCUUACAGCUCUGCAGAAGUCUGAAAUGGGUCUUACUGGGCCAAAAUUAAGGCAUCAGCCGAGCUGCAUUUGUUCUGGGGGCUUGAAGAGAAAAUUUAUUUCCUUGUUCUUCCAGCUUCUAAAAACUGCACACCUUGGCUCAUGGCCCUUCCUUCAUCUUCAAAGCUAGGAGGGUACCAUCUUCAAACCUUCUCUUACUCUGACCUUCUUGAUCCAUUUUUCGCUUCUAAGAACCCUUGAAAUUACAUUGAAUUCCUCCACAAAAUACAGGAUAAUAUCCCUCCUGCAAUAUCCUAAACUAUCUCAUUUUCAAAGUCCCUUUUGCCAUGUAAGGUUACAUUUUCACAGGUUCUAGGGAUUAGGAUCUGGACACCUUUGUCAGGUAGUUAUUCUGCCUUCUAUGGGUUAUGUAUCUAAUGGAUGCGUAUUAAGCAAUUUCUGUGUGUAAGGCUUUUUUAAAAAAGGUGAAAGCUCGUGAUAGAUUUUCUUCCAGCCUGGACAACUAAGUCUGGAAAACAUCUUUUAAACAAACAAAUCUAGUUAAUGGUUUUAACAAAUGUAAAGAAGUGGAGGCCAUUUUGAGGAAAGGAGCCUAUUUUUCAAUAACAGAGGCAUCUAAGUAAAUUGAAGCUUUAUGAGAACUAGAUGCAUAUUGUUGCCCAUUGUACCCACCUGAUAAUACGCAAGACAGUGAUGCUACAAUAUUCUUUAGUGACCUCUUGUUUUCUCAUCCCAUAAAGAAAAUCCAAGACCGAAAUCUCAGAAUUGGGAGAGUAAAAGUUCAAAAGAAAGGAAAAGAAAAGAAAAGAAAAGAAAAGAAAAGCGAAAGAAAGAGAGAGAAAGAAAGCAAGCCUGAUUAUCUUGUUCACAUUCUGGUUCACCUGGUUCAAAGGUUGAGGUUAAAAUAUUAUCCUAAAAAGCUUCUGAGGCCUCACCAGAAGAUGAACAAAUGUUGGUGCCAUGAUUGUACAGCCUGAAGAACCAUGAGCCAAAAUAAACGUCUUUUCUUUAUAAAUAA